rnacentral:rRNA from 1 species
UACGUAGGGAGCAAGCGUUGUUCGGAUUUACUGGGCGUAAAGGGCGCGUAGGCGGCCACCGCAAGUCAAUUGUGAAAUCUCCGGGCUUAACUCGGAAAGGUCAACUGAUACUGCGGGGCUAGAGUGCGGAAGGGGCAACUGGAAUUCUCGGUGUAGCGGUGAAAUGCGUAGAUAUCGAGAGGAACACCUGCGGCGAAGGCGGGUUGCUGGGCCGACACUGACGCUGAUGCGCGAAAGCCAGGGGAGCGAACGGG